AAUUUUUAUACAUAAGACACCCCGUUAAUUUAGUUUAUUGGUAUUUAUUAAAUUAUACGAAAGGGCCUUAUUUUUUAAGUAUUUCAAUGUAAAAUUACAUAUAAACACAAAGUAUUUUGGUGAGACUCUUGAGGGAACAGGACAAGUUGAAGACUAUAGGCUGAAGUUGUCCGCUAAGAAACCAAGCCAACAAUACAAAGUAUUAUAAAUAAAAAGCCAG
rfam:Staphylococcus epidermidis RP62A, complete genome.